rnacentral:rRNA from 1 species
AGCAGCCGCGGUAAUUCCAGCUCCAAUAGCAUAUAUUAAAGUUGUUGCAGUUAAAAAGCUCGUAGUUGAAUUUCGGGAUCAAUAUAUCGGUCGUGCCAUUGGUACGUACUGGUAUCAUUGGUUUCUCCUUUCUGACGAACCAUGAUGUCAUUAAUUUGGUGUUAUGGGAAGUUAGGACUGUUACUUUGAAAAAAUUAGAGUGUUUAAAGCAGGCUUUAGCUUGAAUACAUUAGCAUGGAAUAAUGAAAUAGGGCGUUCGAACCUAUUUUGUUGGUUUCUAGGAUCAACGUAAUGAUUAAUAGGGAUAGUUGGGGGCAUUAGUAUUCAAUUGUCAGAGGUGAAAUUCUUGGAUUUAUUGAAGACUAACUACUGCGAAAGCAUUUGCCAAGGAUGUUUUCAUCAAUCAAGAACGAAAGUUAGGGGAUCGAAGACGAUCAGAUACCGUCGUAGUCUUAACCAUAAACUAUGCCGACUAGGGAUCGGAUGAUGUUAAUUUUUUAAUGACUCAUUCGGCGCCUUA